rnacentral:rRNA from 1 species
GGCGUAAAGCGAGCGCAGGCGGUCUUUUAAGUCUAAUGUGAAAGCCUUCGGCUCAACCGAAGAAGUGCAUUGGAAACUGGGAGACUUGAGUGCAGAAGAGGACAGUGGAACUCCAUGUGUAGCGGUGAAAUGCGUAGAUAUAUGGAAGAACACCAGUGGCGAAGGCGGCUGUCUGGUCUGCAACUGACGCUGAGGCUCGAAAGCAUGGGUAGCGAACAGGAUUAGAUACCCUGGUAGUCCAUGCCGUAAACGAUGAUUACUAAGUGUUGGAGGGUUUCCGCCCUUCAGUGCUGCAGCUAACGCAUUAAGUAAUCCGCCUGGGGAGUACGACCGCAAGGUUGAAACUCAAAAGAAUUGACGGGGGCCCGCACAAGCGGUGGAGCAUGUGGUUUAAUUCGAAGCUACGCGAAGAACCUUACCAGGUCUUGACAUCUUCUGACAGUCUAAGAGAUUAGAGGUUCCCUUCGGGGACAGAAUGACAGGUGGUGCAUGGUUGUCGUCAGCUCGUGUCGUGAGAUGUUGGGUUAAGUCCCGCAACGAGCGCAACCCUUAUUACUAGUUGCCAGCAUUAAGUUGGGCACUCUAGUGAGACUGCCGGUGACAAACCGGAGGAAGGUGGGGACGACGUCAAAUCAUCAUGCCCCUUAUGACCUGGGCUACACACGUGCUACAAUGGAUGGUACAACGAGUCGCGAAACCGCGAGGUUAAGCUAAUCUCUUAAAACCAUUCUCAGUUCGGACUGUAGGCUGCAACUCGCCUACACGAAGUCGGAAUCGCUAGUAAUCGCGGAUCAGCAUGCCGCGGUGAAUACGUUCCCGGGCCUUGUACACACCGCCCGUCACACCAUGAGAGUUUGUAACACCCAAAGC